GACGUAGGGUCCAAGCGUUGUCCGGAUUUACUGGGCGUAAAGAGCGCGUAGGCGGUCUGGUUAGUGUGAAGUGAAAUCUCCAGGGCUCAACCCGGAAACUGCUUUGCAUACUGCCAGACUAGAGGAAUGCAGAGGUAUGUGGAAUUCCUGGUGUAGCGGUGAAAUGCGUUGAUAUCAGGAGGAACACCCAUGGCGAAGGCAGCAUACUGGGCAUUAUCUGACGCUGAGGCGCGAAAGCGUGGGUAGCAAACAGG
rnacentral:rRNA from 1 species